AGAACAGAGUUCAUAAUAUUUGCCUCAGAACAUAAGAGCCUUAGCUUGCAUGCUCAUUGUUGUUUCAUCAUGAUUGAACCUGGUUGGAAAUAGGUCAACUAAUUCCAGAAGCAACAAAAAAAUGGUAUUUGUAUGCUAACUUGAGAACCAACAUUGCAAAGUAAUUUUAUUUGGAACACCAAGAACAAUGGAUUUGAUUCAAGUUCAUCAAGCAGUCAUUAUAAAACUACAUGAUGAACUGCAUUUCAAGUUGUUACAUGAAAUGCAUGUUCAGUGAAAGAAACCUAGAUCGAACACACUCAUCUUGUUUUAUUGAAAGUUUACUGCAACCUAUUUUCAAUGCAUUACAGUUCGCACUAAUAAUUAAAACAGCUUUAAUAUUGUCA